rnacentral:rRNA from 1 species
AUUGACCGCUGGCGGCAGGCCUAACAAAUGAAAGUCGAGCGGAGAGGCGGACGGGUGAGGAAUGCCUAGGAAUCUGCCUGGUCGUGGGGGAUAACGUCCGGAAUCGGGCGCUAAUCCCGCAUACUAUCAGAUGAGCCUAUGUCGGAUUAGCUAGUUGGUGGGGUAAAGGCCUACAAAGGCGACGAUCCGUAACUGGUCUGAGAGGAUGAUCAGUCCCCCGGGAACUGAUACACGGUCCAGACUCCUACGGUAGGCAGCAGUGGGGAAUAUUGGACAAUGGGCGAAAGCCUGAUCCAUCCAUGCCGCGUGUGGGAAGAAGGUCUUCGGAUUGUAAAGCACUUUAAGUUGGGAGGCGUUACCAACAGAAUAAGCACCGGCUAACUUCGUGCCAGCAGCCGCGGUAAUAC